GAUGAACGCUGGCGGCGUGCCUAAUACAUGCAAGUCGAGCGAACAGACGAGGAGCUUGCUCCUCUGACGUUAUCGGCGGACGGGUGAGUAACACGUGGAUAACCUACCUAUAAGACUGGGAUACCUUCGGGAAACCGGAGCUAAUACCGGAUAAUAUAUUGCACCGCAUGGUUCAAUAGUGAAAUACGGUUUUUCUGUCACUUAUAGAUUGAUCCGCGCCGCAUUAGCUAGUUGGUAAGGUAACGGCUUACCAAGGCAACGAUGCGUAGCCGACCUGAGAGGGUGAUCGGCCACACGGGAACUGAGACAGGGUCCAGACUCCUACGGGAGGCAGCAGUAGGGAAUCUUCCGCAAUGGGCGAAAGCUGGACGGAGCAACGCCGCGUGAGUGAUGAAGGUCUUCGGAUCGUAAAACUCUGUUAUUAGGGAAGAACAAAUGUGUAAGUAACUAUGCACGUCUUGACGGUACCGAAUCAGAAAGCCACGGCUAACUACGUG
rnacentral:rRNA from 1 species